UACGAAGGGGGCUAGCGUUGUUCGGAAUUACUGGGCGUAAAGCGCGCGCAGGCGGCCUUUCAAGUCAGGGGUGAAAGCCCGGAGCUCAACUCCGGAAUUGCCUUUGAAACUGUCAGGCUCGAGUACGGGAGAGGUGAGUGGAAUUCCCAGUGUAGAAGUGAAAUUCGUAGAUAUUGGGAAGAACACCGGUGGCGAAGGCGGCUCACUGGCCCGUUUCUGACGCUCAGGCGCGACAGCGUGGGGAUCAAACAGG
rnacentral:rRNA from 1 species